AACGUCAUAAAAACAGAGUAUCACUAUCCAAGAUAAAUAAAAUUAUAGUAACUGUAUUUCUUUAUUUUAAACAUACAUAAGCUGGAGAUCAAGGGCUGAUCCCCACAACAGGAGAACAUGACCCUUGUCCUAAGCAUUUUGUUUGUUUUGCUAUAAAUGAGAUGGCAGUAGUGGUUUCUCGGUAUUGACAUCUCCCCUUAAUCUCCAACUUAUGUAUUUUUAAAAAUUUAAAUAUUUAGGUACGGCAAUUUUAUUUAUCUUGGAGGGUGAUGCUGUGUUCAUUUGACAUU